AGACAAUGCUUACGCAUCUCCUCAGCCCAAACGUCCUCUGGAUAUCAACUGGUUCUUAUGUAAUCUUUAUCCAUAACUUACG
rnacentral:ncRNA from 1 species